GUGGGUAUAGUUCAGCGGUAGAGUGCAAGCUUUCCAUUCAUGAGAUCCUGGGUUCAAUCCCAAGUACCUUCA
rnacentral:tRNA from 1 species